UACGUAGGGUGCAAGCGUUAUCCGGAAUUAUUGGGCGUAAAGAGCUCGUAGGCGGUCUGUCGCGUCGGAUGUGAAAAUCCAGGGCUUAACCCUGGACCUGCAUUCGAUACGGGCAGACUAGAGUUCGGUAGGGGAGACUGGAAUUCCUGGUGUAGCGGUGAAAUGCGCAGAUAUCAGGAGGAACACCGGUGGCGAAGGCGGAUCUCUGGGCCGAUACUGACGCUGAGGAGCGAAAGCGUGGGGAGCGAACAGG
rnacentral:rRNA from 1 species